rnacentral:rRNA from 1 species
UGACAGGAGCUUGCUCCUGGAUUCAGCGGCGGACGGGUGAGUAAUGCCUAGGAAUCUGCCUGGUAGUGGGGGACAACGUUUCGAAAGGAACGCUAAUACCGCAUACGUCCUACGGGAGAAAGCAGGGGACCUUCGGGCCUUGCGCUAUCAGAUGAGCCUAGGUCGGAUUAGCUAGUUGGUGAGGUAAUGGCUCACCAAGGCGACGAUCCGUAACUGGUCUGAGAGGAUGAUCAGUCACACUGGAACUGAGACACGGUCCAGACUCCUACGGGAGGCAGCAGUGGGGAAUAUUGGACAAUGGGCGAAAGCCUGAUCCAGCCAUGCCGCGUGUGUGAAGAAGGUCUUCGGAUUGUAAAGCACUUUAAGUUGGGAGGAAGGGCAGUAAAUUAAUACUUUGCUGUUUUGACGUUACCGACAGAAUAAGCACCGGCUAACUCUGUGCCAGCAGCCGCGGUAAUACAGAGGGUGCAAGCGUUAAUCGGAAUUACUGGGCGUAAAGCGCGCGUAGGUGGUUCGUUAAGUUGGAUGUGAAAUCCCCGGGCUCAACCUGGGAACUGCAUUCAAAACUGUCGAGCUAGAGUAUGGUAGAGGGUGGUGGAAUUUCCUGUGUAGCGGUGAAAUGCGUAGAUAUAGGAAGGAACACCAGUGGCGAAGGCGACCACCUGGACUGAUACUGACACUGAGGUGCGAAAGCGUGGGGAGCAAACAGGAUUAGAUACCCCUGG